AUGUUUCCCCCUGUACCUCAGAAUACUAGGUUUCACACUUUUGUCUAUACCAUGACGGGACUUAAACUAACAUGGCCCUACUCUUCCUCCAGGUUCUCCUUUCAGCAGAAGCACUUACGGACCCUGCAGUGGUCCCUCACUCCUGAGAACACGGGGUUUCUACGUCUGCCUCAGCAGUUUUCUAGCCGCCACAUCACAGCUACAGCAACCACAGUAAAACCCCAGGUGAGGAAGUUUCCCAAUAAACUCUGGAAAACAAACAUGGAAGAGAAAUCUCAUUGCUGUUUUACAAAAGUUUUUGUGAAGUGUUGUAAAGCACCUGGAACAUUCCCAAGCAAACCACUCUGCCUGGCUAUGGCUAUGUGUGGGCUUCACAGGGUUGGGGCGCUUUUAAAGUCCUCCUGGGGGGCCUGGGGGGCUCAGUCGGUUAUGCAUCUGACUCUUCAGUUCAGGUCGUGCUCUCACAGUUCCUGGGACUGGGCCCCACAUCAGGCUGUGCACUGAGAGUGCAGAAAUCUGCUUGGGACUCUCUCUCCCCCUCUUUGUCCCUCCCUAGCUCUCUCUCAAAAUAAAGACUUGAAGAAAAAAAAAAAAAAAGGAACGACUCCCAUCUCUCCUAUAUCUCCAGAAAUUACAAGAUUUUUAAAUCUCUUUUCCAGGAAUCUGGGACAAAAAAACAAACAAAAAA
rnacentral:lncRNA from 1 species